UACGUAGGGUCCGAGCGUUGUCCGGAAUUACUGGGCGUAAAGAGCUCGUAGGUGGUUUGUCACGUUGUUCGUGAAAACUCACAGCUCAACUGUGGGCGUGCGGGCGAUACGGGCAGACUUGAGUACUGCAGGGGAGACUGGAAUUCCUGGUGUAGCGGUGGAAUGCGCAGAUAUCAGGAGGAACACCGGUGGCGAAGGCGGGUCUCUGGGCAGUAACUGACGCUGAGGAGCGAAAGCGUGGGGAGCGAACAGG
rnacentral:rRNA from 1 species